GACUGCAUCUCUGUAACAGCUGUACUGUCAGCCUCACAUUAGGUGAACCUAGACUACAUCUCUGUAACAUCCGUACUGCCAGCCUCACAUUAGGGGAGCCCAGAAUGCAGCUCUGUAACAUCCACACUGCCAGUCUUACAUUAGUGGAGCCCAGACUGCAGCAAUGUAACAACUGCCAGCCUCACAUUAGGGGAGCCUAGACUGCAGUUCCAUAAUAUCUGUACUGCCAGACUGUAGCUCUGUAACAUCCGUACUGUCAGCCUUAUAUUAGGGGAG